UUAGGGUCUGCUAAAUUAAAGCAGUUGGGCCCAUACCCCAAAAACGGUAAUGAUACCCCCUAAC
rnacentral:tRNA from 1 species